GACGAACGCUGGCGGCGUGCUUAACACAUGCAAGUCGAGCGGUAAGGCCCUUCGGGGUACACGAGCGGCGAACGGGUGAGUAACACGUGGGUGACCUGCCCUCCACUUCGGGAUAAGCCCGGGAAACUGGGUCUAAUACCGGAUAUGACCUUGAAGCGCAUGUUUCUUGGUGGAAAGUUUUUUCGGUGGGGGAUGGGCCCGCGGUCUAUCAGCUUGUUGGUGGGGUGAUGGCCUACCAAGGCGACGACGGAUAGCCGGCCUGAGAGGGUGAUCGGCCACACUGGGACUGAGACACGGCCCAGACUCCUACGGGAGGCAGCAGUGGGGAAUAUUGCACAAUGGGCGCAAGCCUGAUGCAGCGACGCCGCGUGAGGGAUGACGGCCUUCGGGUUGUAAACCUCUUUCAGCAGGGACGAAGCGCAAGUGACGGUACCUGCAGAAGAAGGACCGGCCAACUACGUGCCAGCCGCCGCAGUAACAC
rnacentral:rRNA from 1 species